rnacentral:lncRNA from 1 species
CCUUUUUAAACUUCGUAUUUUCCUCAUGAUAAAGGUAAAGUAAUGUUCAUUAUUGUUUUCAGGAAUAUUAUUGGUCUUCCGUCAUUUCUGCGACUCUACAUGAUUACUAUGAAAAUGAAUGAGGUUUUGGGAUAUUCUGUUCCAAUUCAAGCAAGAGGAGGAAGCUGUCUGCUCUCAGCUGGACUUGACUCCAUUAAGCUUUUCCAUUCAGCACAUACUUACCAAGCGUGGACCAUGUAAGAGACCAGAGCAACCUAAAAAUGAAUUAAACAUAGCCCU